rnacentral:rRNA from 1 species
UGAGGCGUGGCUUCCGGAGCUAACGCGUUAAGUAGACCGCCUGGGGAGUACGGCCGCAAGGUUAAAACUCAAAUGAAUUGACGGGGGCCCGCACAAGCGGUGGAGCAUGUGGUUUAAUUCGAUGCAACGCGAAGAACCUUACCUGGUCUUGACAUCCACAGAACUUUCCAGAGAUGGAUUGGUGCCUUCGGGAACUGUGAGACAGGUGCUGCAUGGCUGUCGUCAGCUCGUGUUGUGAAAUGUUGGGUUAAGUCCCGCAACGAGCGCAACCCUUAUCCUUUGUUGCCAGCGAUUAGGUCGGGAACUCAAAGGAGACUGCCAGUGAUAAACUGGAGGAAGGUGGGGAUGACGUCAAGUCAUCAUGGCCCUUACGACCAGGGCUACACACGUGCUACAAUGGCGCAUACAAAGAGAAGCGACCUCGCGAGAGCAAGCGGACCUCAUAAAGUGCGUCGUAGUCCGGAUUGGAGUCUGCAACUCGACUCCAUGAAGUCGGAAUCGCUAGUAAUCGUGGAUCAGAAUGCCACGGUGAAUACGUUCCCGGGCCUUGUACACACCGCCCGUCACACCAUGGGAGUGGGUUGCAAAAGAAGUAGGUAGCUUAACCUUCGGGAGGGCGCUUACCACUUUGUGAUUCAUGACUGGGGUGAAGUCGUAACAAGGUAACCGUAGGGGAACCUGCGGUUGGA